UGACCACUCAAGCCUGGCUUGGUAUUGGAGUUCGCUAUCGGCGGCCCCUAAAUCAGUGGCGGUGCCUGUAGGCUCUACGAGUAGUAAUACUUCUCGCUAUAGGGUCCUGCGGGUGACUUGCCAACAACACCUAAUUUUUUAA
rnacentral:misc_RNA from 1 species